rnacentral:rRNA from 1 species
UGGGGAAUAUUGGACAAUGGGCGAAAGCCUGAUCCAGCCAUGCCGCGUGUGUGAAGAAGGCCUUAUGGUUGUAAAGCACUUUAAGUGGGGAGGAAAAGCUUAUGGAUAACACCCAUAGGUUCUGACGUUACCCACAGAAUAAGCACCGGCUAACUCUGUGCCAGCAGCCGCGGUAAUACAGAGGGUGCAAGCGUUAAUCGGAAUUACUGGGCGUAAAGCGAGCGUAGGUGAUUUAUUAAGUCAGAUGUGAAAUCCCUGGGCUUAACCUAGGAACUGCAUCUGAUACUGAUAAACUAGAGUAGGUGAGAGGAAAGUAGAAUUCCAGGUGUAGCGGUGAAAUGCGUAGAGAUCUGGAGGAAUACCGAUGGCGAAGGCAGCUUUCUGGCAUCAUACUGACACUGAGGUUCGAAAGCGUGGGUAGCAAACAGGAUUAGAUACCUUGGUAGUCCACGCCGUAAACGAUGUCUACCAGUCGUUGGGUCUUUUAAAGGCUUAGUGACGCAGUUAACGCGAUAAGUAGACCGCCUGGGGAGUACGGCCGCAAGGUUA